rnacentral:rRNA from 1 species
CCUGAAACCGUGUGCUUACAAGUAGUCAGAGCCCGUUAAUGGGUGAUGGCGUGCCUUUUGUAGAAUGAACCGGCGAGUUACGAUUUGAUGCAAGGUUAAGCAGUAAAUGUGGAGCCGUAGCGAAAGCGAGUCUGAAUAGGGCGUUUAGUAUUUGGUCGUAGACCCGAAACCAGGUGAUCUACCCUUGGUCAGGUUGAAGUUCAGGUAACACUGAAUGGAGGACCGAACCGACUUACGUUGAAAAGUGAGCGGAUGAACUGAGGGUAGCGGAGAAAUUCCAAUCGAACCUGGAGAUAGCUGGUUCUCUCCGAAAUAGCUUUAGGGCUAGCCUCAAGUGAUGAUUAUUGGAGGUAGAGCACUGUUUGGACGAGGGGCCCCUCUCGGGUUACCGAAUUCAGACAAACUCCGAAUGCCAAUUAAUUUAACUUGGGAGUCAGAACAUGGGUGAUAAGGUCCGUGUUCGAAAGGGAAACAGCCCAGACCACCAGCUAAGGUCCCAAAAUAUAUGUUAAGUGGAAAAGGAUGUGGCGUUGCCCAGACAACUAGGAUGUUGGCUUAGAAGCAGCCAUCAUUUAAAGAGUGCGUAAUAGCUCACUAGUCGAGUGACACUGCGCCGAAAAUGUACCGGGGCUAAACAUAUUACCGAAGCUGUGGAUUGUCCUUUGGACAAUGGUAGGAGAGCGUUCUAAGGGCGUUGAAGCAUGAUCGUAAGGACAUGUGGAGCGCUUAGAAGUGAGAAUGCCGGUGUGAGUAGCGAAAGACGGGUGAGAAUCCCGUCCACCGAUUGACUAAGGUUUCCAGAGGAAGGCUCGUCCGCUCUGGGUUAGUCGGGUCCUAAGCUGAGGCCGACAGGCGUAGGCGAUGGAUAACAGGUUGAUAUUCCUGUACCACCUAUAAUCGUUUUAAUCGAUGGGGGGACGCAGUAGGAUAGGCGAAGCGUGCGAUUGGAUUGCACGUCUAAGCAGUAAGGCUGAGUAUUAGG